AAAGUCGUAACAAGGUCUCCGUUGGUGAACCAGCGGAGGGAUCAUUAAAGAGUUGCAAAACUCCCCUAAACCAUCGUGAACGUACCUCUGAACAGUUGCUUCGGCAGGCCGGCCCCCCCCCGGGGGGUCGCCAAAGGCCUGCCGAAGGUACCCAAACCAUUGUUUUUACAGGCCUCUCUGAGUAUCGUACUUAAUAAGUCAAAACUUUCAACAACGGAUCUCUUGGUUCUG
rnacentral:misc_RNA from 2 species